rnacentral:rRNA from 1 species
AUUUUGAGUUUGAUCCUGGCUCAGGAUUAACGCUUCAGAUGUACAUUAUACAUGCAAGUUUAACGUAUCUUUACGUAGCGAACGGGUGAGUAAUUACAAUAGUUAUUUAUUUUAUUGUUUAGUAUUUAAUAUCAACUCGUAAGGAUAAAUCUACUUUAAGGUAAGCUUUUGUAAAAUUAGGUUGUUGAUAAAAAAAAGAUUAUCAAGCCUUCGAUUUUUAGUUGAUUCGAAAGAAUGAUCAACCACACUGGAAUUGAGAAAAGGUUCAGGCUUUAAUAAGCCAGCAGUAAGGAAUUUUGGAG